CCCGUGGUACUAAAUUUCUUUUUGUGUCAAGGUAAGUCUUUUCACACCGCAAUCUACAAUAAUAAGUACUAUAUGUUAAUUUUCAAUUAACACAAGCACCAUUAACUACCAAUAGCCCCCCAAUUCUCCCACUUCUCACUCAAAUUCUCAACAAAUAGGCUUAUUAAGAUUACAAUUUGUUCACACAUUUCCUUUAAGCCUCCUUCUACUCUAUCACAUCAUAAAACUUAAUAUCUCAACUUAUCACACUUCAUCACCCUAUAAUCAAGUUAGGGCUUGAUUUAAAAUUCACCAAACAAGAAAGUAGCUUCCUAUUACCACAUAUCCAAGAUUAAUAAACCUAAAUUAAACCUUUAGAGUCAAUAGAAACCUUCAAAACAUUGACUUAUAGCUUAAUCCAAUUAGACCAAAUUCUUACUCUUCCAAAUCCCACGGAAAAUGAGAUGAAAAGGUAGAAGAGAACGGUAGGAAACUUAACCAAGAGUUUGGAGACUCAAAUUAUCUUCAAAAUCCUUUCAAAUUGAUGCCUUAGCAGUGUCCAAAGUUGCCCCCUUCGUUCUCUAGGUUUUUCACCCCAAAAUCUAUCAAUUUCUGAUCAUUUCUGAAAUUUUAAGUUGCCUGCUGUGCCGUGCACCACAGCACACGCCACGCAAGCCACGGCUCACGACGCAGUGAGAAACAAGUUGAUUUUGCUCCCCCCAAUGCCUCCUGACUUGAUCCGACUUUCAUCCUAUCUUAAUUUAGAGCCAAAUAUGAUCUAAAAAUCUAAUUAGCCACUCAAAAACAUAAUUAAAUAAAUUAAUCAUAUUUUUAACUAAUUUAUCCUUUAAUUAAUCAACUUUUCCAAAUUUAAAGUUUUAGGAUAUUACAAAGAAGAUGGAACUGCCCCAAAGCCAUUGACAGGGGAGCAAGUUUAUGAAUUGGUGAAAGGUAUUAAGGUUACAUUUGGCAAGACUAAAAGAAUAGUGAAAAAAGUAUAUGGAAAAAAAGAUCUAUCUUCUUUGACCUUUCAUAUUGGUGCUAUCUUGAUGUGAGACAUUGUAUUGAUGUCAUACAUGUGGAGAAGAACAUGUGUGAUAGUAUUAUUGGAAUGCUUCUUGAUAAACCAGGCAAGUCCAAGGAUGGUGUGAAGGCAAGAUUGGAUUUGGUGGACAUGAAAAUUAAAGAAGACUUACAUCCAAGGCUGGUUGGUAAGAGGACUUAUUGUCCUCCGGUUGAACAUACUUUGUGCAAGGAUGAGAAAAAAAGCUUUUGUCAGUGCUUACAUGACAUGAAAGUUCCCUUAGGGUAUUCUUCAAAUUUUAAAAAGCUCAUGUCAAUGAAAGAUUUAAAAUUAGUAGGUCUCAAGUCUAAUGAUUUUCAUGUUUUAAUGCAACAAUUAUACCAGUGGCUAUUUGAGCCUUCUGGAAAGAUGAAUUGAGAGAUGUCAUAACCAGGAUUUGCUUUUUCUUCAAUGCUAUAUGCUGUAAAGUCCAUGAGCCUGAAGAAUUGGAUGAAUUAGAAAAUGAAGCGUAUCUUAUCUUGUGCCAACUUGAAAAGCUCUUUCUUCAUUAUGAUACAUCUAAUUGUUUAUCUAGUGAGGAAGAUAAAGUUGUGUGGCCCUGUGUAUUUACGAUGGAUGUACCCAAUUGAAAGAACAAUGAAAGUUCUAAAAGCAUAUGUGAAGAGUCUACACCAUCCUGAAGCAUCCAUUGUGCAAAAAUAUGUCUCUGAAGAAGUAGCAGAAUUUUGCCAAGAUUAUUUGAACAAUGUACGACCUAUUGGGUUGAGACAAUGUGAUGUCAAAGAUCAUAGACGUGGCAUUUCUGUGAAGACUGCUGAUCCUCAUGAAUUGCAAUAAGCAUACUUACAUAUCUUGAAUAACGUUGAUCAAGUUUAAGACUAUAUAGAUACGCAUAAAGAACUCGUAAGGAAGCAAAACAGUCGAAUUAGGAUAACUGAGCAAAGACUAAUUAGAGAGCAUAACAAUACUUUUGUAAAGUGGUUUAAGCAGAAGGUUGAGAAGGAAGAUUGUGUUUUUGAUAUUGUUAAGGGGCUGGCACAAGGUCCUGAGUGUGAUGUUAUAUGGUGGACUGCAUUUGAUAUUAAUGGGUAUUUGUUCUACAUGAAGCCUCUAGACAAUCGGAGUAAUGUGCAGAAUAAUGGUGUUACGCUAGUGGCAUCAGGCAUGCACUUCUCAAGCUCGAAAGACCAAAAAUCCUUUAUUCACAUCUAUGCCUUAUUAUCGGGUUAUUGAAGAGAUCUUGGAGGUUGACUAUAUUAAAUUUAAAAUCCCUAUUUUCAAAUGCAAGUGGGUUAAUGUUAAAAAUGGUUUUUAUCAGGAUAGGAUGGGAUUUACAUUAGUUAACUUGAAUACUUUAAGUUUUGGCAAUGAACCUUUUAUUAUGGCAGACCAAGCGAAACAAGUGUUUUAUGUCACGGAUCCAAGAAGUGAAACAUGGUCAAUGGUUCUUGAAGGAAAAAGAGAGGUUAACAUUAAUGAGAAGGAUUGUUCAAAUUUCAAUAUUUCUGAGACUCCUUCUUUCUCGAUAGGCUUGCCUGUAUUGAAUGUAGAAGAUGAAUUGGAUGAUGAAUAUAGCACGAGAGAUGAUCAUUAUGAAGGGAUAUGGGAGAAUAUUACUAUUUAAAAAUAUCUUAAAAGAACAUGGAGGAUUAGAGUGUUAAUUAGGACCAGCCUGACCUUUCUACCCUAAUCGUGUCUACUAGUGGUGAUGACUGUGUAACUGUUAGUCCUCAAACUAUGGGUAGCAGCCAAUUUACAUGAUCUAGGAGACUUAGAAGUGGCAUGCGAUUAAGAGAGUUAGCUCUAAGUCGGAGCAGAGGUGAGAAGAUUUCGAUCCAGUUUGAUAACAAUUGGAAGCCAAUCGGGCUUAAUGGGGCUAAGUUUACUAGUUUUUUAGGCCUCCAAACUCAUAGCAAGCCAAGUAUAUUGGCACCCACAUGGGAUGAUCUCCCAGAAUGAGUGAAGGAACAGAUAUAGGAAGCCAUCAAGGUCACAUAACAUGUCCCCACGAGUAUAGACUUUAAGUAUAGGUUGAUGACCUGGGCUUGUGAUCAUUGGAGGGGUUUCAAGACAUCACUGGCUAAGAGAUUUGUGCAUAUUGAGGUGCCAGAAGGAUAGCUAUGGCCUAAUCCUUAUACCCAAUACAAAUUUCUCGAUGCAGCUACUUUUGAAGAAUUUAUUAGGCUUCGGAUUACGCCAGAUGCUCUAAAAGGAGGAGAAAGGCAUAAGAAGUUGGAAGGAAGAAUAAUUGCCCCUAAACAAAGUCUCGUGGUGGUUAUGUGUUGGCCGACAAGGAAUUGAUGGUUGCCAAGAGGAGGAAGAGAGAAGAACAAGCUCAAUCAGAUCCUUCUAUUCCACUACCUCCACCAUCUCCAAUACAUCGUGAUGAGAGAUGGAUUUAUGCUCAUAAGAAGAAGGACGGGUCCUUUUUAAGUGAGCAUGCUCGUGAGGCUGCUCAGAAAAUUGAUGAGCUUAAAUAGAAGCAAUUCGAGGGAUCAUUCAUCCUAGAGGGAAUAAAUGAUAUCCUGACUGUUGCUAUGGGAAAAGGAGAGCAUUCUGGACGUGUUCGGGGAUUCGAAUUAAGGGUGAGUAUAAGAGAUGUAUUUGGACUACCUCAAAAAUGCCAUUCUUCAAGACUCGUGACUAAGGAGGAGUUGGAUGUGAUGUUAGCUCAAUCAAGGGCUGAGGCAAGGGCUGACGUUGAGGCUACUCUUGAAGCUAGGCUGUAAAAGAUGAAGGAAGAAAUGAUGAUGGUGAUGAGCUCAAUCAAGGAGCGAAGUGGCCCACAAACUCACUCCCUUGCUUGUCAUCCGAGUAUUAAAGGGAGAAACAUCUUUCCACUUCUUUUAGAGGAUGACCCUACUCCAGAGGGUGAACUAUGCUACUUGUAUGUGGAGGACCUAGAAAGACGCUUAGUAGCACACGGUUACAUCCACAAGGGGUUAAAAUGCCACUUCCAGGAAGUUCAAGUAGAUGUUGUCGAGGUCACUGUUGAAGAGGCAACCCCAUCAUCCCAUAAAGUGGGUUGAAAGCCACAAUUGUUCGAGCUAAGUUUAUAGGACCGAUUUGCAUUGAUGGCAUAUGGUGGAUCAUUUCCAUCUUAGUGUUUUAAAGCGAAUCCUGAUCUUGCUAGCUUAAACAACUAUGAAAUCUUUGUUGAGAAUGAGGACCUUUGUCGGAUUCUCAUUGAUACUAACCUAACCAUGGCAAAUAUCCAAAUUGGGAUGAUGUUUUUGCAUCAAUUGCUAGUUUCCUCGGGUAAAGACAAACAAUAUGGACUUCUUUGCCCACGUUACACUAAAGAUAAAGAGACCACCAAAGAGGUAAAGGAGGUAUAUAUGAACCAUAGGCUCAGUGAAGGUGGAAAGGAGUGUUAUUUUUCCAUGUUUCUCAAUCUGUAAGUAAAUAUAUUUCAAUUUAUUCAUAAUGGUAUCGAAUAUUUGCUUAAAUGACUUUUUUUUGCAGUACACACUGGUAAUUGAUAGUGUUUUCAAUGAAGAGCAAUUCCAUAAUCUUUUUAUGCUCUUUGCAUCGUAAACUCAAUCCUACAACGAAGAAAUCUUGUGAGCAGGCUAUGAGGAUUGGCCAGAACAUUUAGUUGGGCAAGGCCCCAUGUGAUGUCAAGGAUCCUACAUGGAUAACACCAAAGGUAAUAAGUUAUACAUGUUUUUAUUUUAUGUAAUUUUGAUGAUAGAGCCUUCUUUCAGUAUAAUUAUGAUAAUGUUGUGUUAUUCCAUAGAGCCAUCAGCAACCCCUUACUAAUUUGUGCAACUUUUAUGUGUUGAGACAUGCAUACAAUAUCAUCACCGCUGGCUUGACUAAGUUCACUCAGGAGGUAAAUGUAAUUUUAGAUAUUAUUUAUUUUUUCUUCUAAUUACUGAUUUAAUUCCCUUAUCCCUAAUCUUUUCAGAUGUUCAAUGAUCCAUCUCCAUUUUCGGAUUCAGAGAUCCAUCAAAUAAGGCAACAUUGGGGACUCUUCAUGUUCGAUCUUCAUAAUAAUUUCUUUAGAAGAGUGAACUGUGUCGUUGUAACAUUAGUAAAUAUAGUUGUGUGUAGGAUUACUUAGUUGAUAAUUUAUGUUUUAUGUGUUUGGAAUUAUACAUAAUUUUAAAUUUAUUUGAUUUGAACAAUAUAUGAUUGUCUGGCUAGUUCAUUA